UCUCUAGUGGCUCAGAUGGUAAAAGCAUCUGCCUGCAAUGUGGGAGGCCUGGGUUCAAUCCCUGGCCUGUGAA
rnacentral:tRNA from 1 species